AGCGAGGGUAAUAGGGGGGUGACAGCACUCAUAAUGCUGGGGUCGGCAGUUCGAAUCUGCCCCUUGCUA
rnacentral:tRNA from 1 species